UACGAAGGGGGCUAGCGUUGCUCGGAAUUACUGGGCGUAAAGCGCACGUAGGCGGUCUUUUAAGUCGGGUGUGAAACCUCCAGGCUCAACCUGGAGACGCCACUCGAUACUGGCGUGACUAGAGUCCGGUAGGGGACCACGGAAUUCCUGGUGUAGCGGUGAAAUGCGCAGAUAUCAGGAGGAACACCAGUGGCGAAGGCGGUGGUCUGGGCCGGAACUGACGCUGUAGAGCGAAAGCGUGGGGAGCGAACAGG
rnacentral:rRNA from 1 species